rnacentral:misc_RNA from 1 species
UCCACCCGAGCUCCAUCAAUGCCCUGUUGAUGCAGGUUGUUGAUUGCUAUCGAGUAACUAAAUUGAAGAAUAUACGAUGCAUGGAACACUUUGAUCCAUAUGAUAUCAUAGCUAAGUGUUCAAAAUAGUAAUCAAGUCAUAAAAUAUUGGGAAAAACUGUCUUAUAAGAUUCAGUGCACAUAUAGAUAAAUCUGAACCAUUAGAAUAUCAGAGUAAAUCUAACUACACCGUUGAAUCAUUUCUGCAGUGAGAAUUCUUUUGAAAAUUGGAUAAUUUCAUUUGAUCAUUCUGUGUAUCUAGAUUUUACACUUUGAAAUAGUAAUUCAAUCAUAACAGCAGGCAGAGAAACAACAAAGAAGCAAGAAACCUACCAGUGGUCUCAAGUCUACAAG